rnacentral:rRNA from 1 species
GUGGGGAAUUUUGGACAAUGGGCGAAAGCCUGAUCCAGCAAUGCCGCGUGCAGGAAGAAGGCCUUCGGGUUGUAAACUGCUUUUGUACGGAACGAAACGGUCCUGGCUAAUACCUGGGGCUAAUGACGGUACCGUAAGAAUAAGCACCGGCUAACUACGUGCCAGCAGCCGCGGUAAUACGUAGGGUGCGAGCGUUAAUCGGAAUUACUGGGCGUAAAGCGUGCGCAGGCGGUGCUGUAAGACAGGCGUGAAAUCCCCGGGCUCAACCUGGGAAUUGCGCUUGUGACUGCAGUGCUGGAGUGCGGCAGAGGGGGAUGGAAUUCCGCGUGUAGCAGUGAAAUGCGUAGAUAUGCGGAGGAACACCGAUGGCGAAGGCAAUCCCCUGGGCCUGCACUGACGCUCAUGCACGAAAGCGUGGGGAGCAAACAGGAUUAGAAACCCCGGUAGUCC